CGGGCAGUGGUGGCAGUGUUUGGGCCACAAUACUUGAGAACACCCAAUGCGGAAGACACUGCUCGGAUCCUAGCCCAGAAUGCAGCAAGAGGAUUUCCUGGGAUGCUUGGAAGUAUCGACUGCAUGCAUUGGAAAUGGAAGAAUUGCCCAUUUGGUUGGCAGGGGAUGUACAAAGGCGCCAAAGGCGGUUGCAGUGUGGUGCUUGAGGCGGUAGCCACACAGGACCUUUGGAUUUGGCACUCCUUCUUUGGUAUGCCAGGAACUCACAAUGACAUCAACGUGCUGCAGUGCUCUCCUAUUUUUGCCAAGCUCGUUGAGGGCCAUUCUCCUCCGGUGAACUUCAAGAUCAAUGGGCACCAAUACAACAAGGGGUACUACCUA
rnacentral:rRNA from 1 species